GUUACAGUCUAUCCAAUGAGGCUUUUUCUGUAGAUCUACAUGGUUGGAAAAGCCUCAUAGAGUAUCUGUGUGGUUUCCUUUACUCACAGAACUGUGUGUUAGAUCUGUGGGAAAGAACUACAAAGAGAGGU